rnacentral:rRNA from 1 species
AGAGUUUGAUCAUGGCUCAGAAUGAACGCUGGCGGCGUGCUUAACACAUGCAAGUCGAGCGAGAACGUCCUUUCGGGGAUUAGUACAGCGGCGGACGGGUGAGAAAUACAUGAGAACCUACCCUUUAGUGAAGGAUACCCUUGAGAAAUUAAGGUUAAUACUGCAUACGUCCCUACGGGGAGAAAGGCGGCUUUAUGCUGUCGCUAGAGGAUGGGCUUAUGCGCUAUCAGCUUGUUGGUGAGGUAAAGGCUUACCAAGGCUAUGACGGCUAGCCGGCCUGAGAGGGUGUACGGCCACACUGGAACUGAGAAACGGUCCAGACUCCUACGGGAGGCAGCAGUGGGGAAUAUUGCGCAAUGGGCGAAAGCCUGACGCAGCGACGCCGCGUGGAGGAUGAAGGUUUUCGGAUUGUAAACUCCUGUUAAGUGGGAAGAAAGUUCUAUCUUUAAUAGAGAUAGGGUAUGACGGUACCAUUAGAGAAAGCACCGGCUAACUUCGUGCCAGCAGCCGCGGUAAUACGAGGGGUGCAAGCGUUAUUCGGAUUUACUGGGCGUAAAGAGUGUGUAGACGGUUUGCCAAGUCUGCUGUUAAAUUCCUCGGCUUAACCGAGGGUCAGCAGUAGAAACUGGUGGACUAGAGUGUGGGAGAGAGAAGUGGAAUUCCCGGAGUAGCGGUAAAAUGCGUAGAUCUCGGGAGGAACACCGAUGGCGAAGGCAGCUCACUAAAUUGUAACUGACGCUGAGGCACGAAAGCGUGGGGAUCAAACAGGAUUAGAUACCCUAGUAGUCC